ACAACGGCUCUUUUAAGAGCCACACACAACCUCAUUAAGAGCUUGU
rfam:Poecilia formosa, whole genome shotgun sequence.